rnacentral:lncRNA from 1 species
GCUUAUGUGAUAGAGAUUAGGUUAAAUUCAAAUUUUGAUAAGUCUGAUAGGGUUAGUGUAACACUCCCAACCCAAAUCCGUCGCCGGAAUCGAGUUACGGAGCAUUACUGGACAUAUCGGAUAACUUAUCACUAAUUCACAAAUAAAUGACAUACAUAGCAUACUUUAAUCAAUACAUUACCUAGAUAUUAGAUACAUGCCACAAUAUCAAAAGAAAGGCACAUCACUAAAAUUUAUCUGAGGCCGGGAUUGCUCUGGAUGCUGGACCAGACACUAGCUUUUUACUAACCUGCGCACGAAAACAACCGUACGCUGAGUAUGGGUAUACUCAGUGGUAUUACCAUAAUUCAAAUUAAUAACAUUAAUCAAUAAAUUAUAUACAGUUAAUUUAUGUCUACAAUUAUUUGUUAAUUAUCUCAUACUUUAAAUCAACUUGAUCAUUAAUAACAAUAAGCAAUAUUUCAGUCUAUACCUUAUUUCACUAUCUAAAUUUUAUUGGAUUUUUCAUAUCUCAUUUCAAUAAUUCAUUUCAGUUCAUAUGAAAUUCAUUCAAUUUAUCACUAUAUUUAGUAUCAAUUCUAUUGCAAUUUGUACUCACUAAUAUCAUAUAACAAAAUUUACUCUUUAUCACAUCAUGAACUUUGGGUUCAUAUCUUUAAAUCUCUUAUUUCGAUUUCCAAUUCACACAUCAAUUCACAAUUUCACUUUUUCAUUUCUUCCCAUAGCUCAAUCAAUCACAUUUAUUCAAUUUUCUCAUUUCAAUUAUUUACCCCUAUUAACAAGACUCGGACCUUGGCGGAUACACGGAUCCAACCAAACACACUAGAAUGGCACCCAGUGCCUCAUCGGAUAGUUCGAAGCAAUAAUUGACACCCAGUGUCUCAUCGGCAAAGCCGAAGUAAGUUGGUACCCAGUACCUCAUCGAAUCUAUCCGAAGUAACAGUAUGACACCCAGUGUCUCAUCGACUCAAGGUCGAAGUAUCCCUGAACACUUCCAAUCCUAUGGCAUGCCAACUAUAUCUGACUCAGCCCGACUAGUUAAUAGGGUUUCCAAAUCACAUUUCAAUUCAAUCACUUUCUCAUACUUUCAAUUCAAAUCAUUCCAAUUUAAUCACCAUUUGAUUCAAUACAUUUUUCUAUUUCAAAUUCACUUCCCACUUUCAAAUCAAUAUACAAUUCAGUACCAAUACAUAUUUCACAAAUCAUACUUCGAUUCGAAUCAAACCACUUUUCAGUCAAUCCUCAAUUCACGUAUUCACACUUAUUCAUAAUUUAAUUCACUUUUAUUCAAUUCAUAUUUUUAAUUCAUUCAAUUAAAUAUCAAUAUUCUCCUUAUUUUUAUUUACUAAACAUAUUAUUCAAAAUUCAACAAUUACUAUCAAUAAAUUCAAUAUCAAUACGUAUAUAUAUAUUUCAUUCGAUUCAAUCAUGAUACUCACCUCAAUUUUCUUAUCAUGUAUAUUAAUUUAAAUUUUAACAAUUAAUAAUUAAAUUCGAAUUAUGGUAAUACUAACCGUAAAUUUUCUCGAGUCACUCCUUGAUCACCUUCCCCUUUCCUUUCUCGGCAAUGACUCUUGCACGACAUUAGCUACGUAAUUAAACAAUUAAAAAUUAUUAAUACACAAUUUCAUCAAAACAUUUCCAUUUAUACCUAAACUUUACCUAAAUUCUAAUUUAAUCCCUUAUCAAUACUAAUUUUAUUUUCCCAAUCUAACUUCAUAUUCUCUCUUAAUUCUUACUAUAAACUCAUUUUAACUAUUCAUUUUCACCAUAAAUCCCUAAUUUCGGGAUUCUUUCAAUUUAGUCCCUACUAUUCAAAACUUACACUUUAUUUACAAUUAAACCCUUUACUAACUUCUAACUUGAAAUUUAAUCAAUUUAACCCCUAAUUCUUUCAUUUAUUCAACAUAAUCAAUGUCUAGAAAUAUAAUAUCUUUCCAAAUUUUAACAUAAACCAUGAAAUAUUUUGUUCUAAAACUCCAAAAACUCAAAAAUUAUAAGAAAAUAACUUAAUUUGACUUACCAAUUGAGCUUGAAACCUUGAAACCCCAAAUUUUCUUUCUUUCCUUCCCUUUUUCUUUUCUUUCCUUUCUCCCCUGUUUUCGUUUGCCUAUUCUGUUUCCAUUUCUCUUUUUCUAUCUUUUAUUUCUUUUAUUAAAUUAGUUUAAUAUAAUAACAAUAAAAUAAUAA